UUUAGAUAAAACAAUAAUUGCGGGUUUAGAGUUUCUCAAUUGCAUACAUCGGCUGUUUCAGAUGUCUUGGAGUAUUUAGGGUUUUUCAAUCAACUUGAUGUCGUCGAGAAUCACCAGGGUUUUGUGAGAAUUGCGAGUUUAAGGUUUUCCAAUCAUGGAAUUUGACGAUCAUCUGACGUGUUCUUGGUCUGCCGUAGAAUUAAUUAACAGUCCUCAGCCCCCUGGAGCUUAACGGAAACUGAAACAGAUUAUGCAAUAAUGCUAUGACGCACAUAUUCGACAAACUUGUCUCGAAGUACAGUACUGGGGCAGUUACUGACUUACUGGAUAUGUCAUAUAGUUGUCAUAGAUGCUUUUAAAGCGGAAGAAUUUGCUGAGGUGGCAACGAAGCCUCUGAAAGCCCUUCCAUAUGACACACCUGGUUGAAGUUUAUGGCAUUUGAGUACCCCAUAAGGGGUCCCAGCUCAUCUGUUGGCAGAUUUUUGACAUGUUGAAGUUUAUCGUCAAAGAGGGGUGACAAGUGUAAUACAAAGAUGCUGUUAGUGGAUUAUAUAGAUGCUGCAUGUGCAAAUUUGAUGAAGUUCAACGCGUGAACUUUUUCCCGAGUGAAGUUUCACGCGUGGAACUUAAUGGUGGCGGCGGUGUUCCGAUGCUCAUCACUCGUGAUGGAACCUCCAUCAAGGACCACCCCCAGUCCCCUUAUUAGUUAAACAAUGUAAAAGAAGGUUGUGAAUGUAUGAGAUUGCUUUGACAAUUUGAAACUUUCCUUUUUUAUGUACUCGUUAAACCUUUUCUUUAUUAAGA
rnacentral:lncRNA from 1 species